AUUGCAUUGGAUUGGAAGUUUUGGAAUCCACAAUCAGCAGAUCAAUUUGUUCACCACAGGGUACAAUGCAGCUCCUUGCUCUGAACAUAAAUGCUCAAACUAUGAUUGGUUCAUGGAGUUCACAAGUUUCGCUGCACAGACACAUUACGAAGUCCAUGAUUACACAGCUCAUGAAGAAUUUAAACAUAUCAUAAGAAAGCAACAGCCUCAAAAGACUUCCUUUCAAGAAAUGUAAAAGUAAUUUGAUGAGAUGUUUCAAUUCUGCAGACUCAAUAUUUAUCCAAGUCAAAGAAGUUCAGUUUGUAGCAUUAUCCUUGAGUUCUCUUUAUCCAGUCUAGAAUAUUACAGCAAUCUCCACGGCUAAUAAAAUGCCUUCAAUUUCAGAAAAGUAAAAAUAAU
rnacentral:lncRNA from 1 species